GGGUUGUGAGGUUAAGCGACUAAGCGUACACGGUGGAUGCCCUGGCAGUCAGAGGCGAUGAAGGACGUGCUAAUCUGCGAUAAGCGUCGGUAAGGUGAUAUGAACCGUUAUAACCGGCGAUUUCCGAAUGGGGAAACCCAGUGUGUUUCGACACACUAUCAUUAACUGAAUCCAUAGGUUAAUGAGGCGAACCGGGGGAACUGAAACAUCUAAGUACCCCGAGGAAAAGAAAUCAACCGAGAUUCCCCCAGUAGCGGCGAGCGAACGGGGAGGAGCCCAGAGCCUGAAUCAGUGUGUGUGUUAGUGGAAGCGUCUGGAAAGGCGCGCGAUACAGGGUGACAGCCCCGUACACAAAAAUGCACAUGCUGUGAGCUCGAUGAGUAGGGCGGGACACGUGGUAUCCUGUCUGAAUAUGGGGGGACCAUCCUCCAAGGCUAAAUACUCCUGACUGACCGAUAGUGAACCAGUACCGUGAGGGAAAGGCGAAAAGAACCCCGGCGAGGGGAGUGAAAAAGAACCUGAAACCGUGUACGUACAAGCAGUAGGAGCACAGAGCAAUCUGUGUGACUGCGUACCUUUUGUAUAAUGGGUCAGCGACUUAUAUUCUGUAGCAAGGUUAACCGAAUAGGGGAGCCGAAGGGAAACCGAGUCUUAACUGGGCGUUAAGUUGCAGGGUAUAGACCCGAAACCCGGUGAUCUAGCCAUGGGCAGGUUGAAGGUUGGGUAACACUAACUGGAGGACCGAACCGACUAAUGUUGAAAAAUUAGCGGAUGACUUGUGGCUGGGGGUGAAAGGCCAAUCAAACCGGGAGAUAGCUGGUUCUCCCCGAAAGCUAUUUAGGUAGCGCCUCGUGAAUUCAUCUCCGGGGGUAGAGCACUGUUUCGGCAAGGGGGUCAUCCCGACUUACCAACCCGAUGCAAACUGCGAAUACCGGAGAAUGUUAUCACGGGAGACACACGGCGGGUGCUAACGUCCGUCGUGAAGAGGGAAACAACCCAGACCGCCAGCUAAGGUCCCAAAGUCAUGGUUAAGUGGGAAACGAUGUGGGAAGGCCCAGACAGCCAGGAUGUUGGCUUAGAAGCAGCCAUCAUUUAAAGAAAGCGUAAUAGCUCACUGGUCGAGUCGGCCUGCGCGGAAGAUGUAACGGGGCUAAACCAUGCACCGAAGCUGCGGCAGCGACACUGUGUGUUGUUGGGUAGGGGAGCGUUCUGUAAGCCUGUGAAGGUGUGCUGUGAGGCAUGCUGGAGGUAUCAGAAGUGCGAAUGCUGACAUAAGUAACGAUAAAGCGGGUGAAAAGCCCGCUCGCCGGAAGACCAAGGGUUCCUGUCCAACGUUAAUCGGGGCAGGGUGAGUCGACCCCUAAGGCGAGGCCGAAAGGCGUAGUCGAUGGGAAACAGGUUAAUAUUCCUGUACUUGGUGUUACUGCGAAGGGGGGACGGAGAAGGCUAUGUUGGCCGGGCGACGGUUGUCCCGGUUUAAGCGUGUAGGCUGGUUUUCCAGGCAAAUCCGGAAAAUCAAGGCUGAGGCGUGAUGACGAGGCACUACGGUGCUGAAGCAACAAAUGCCCUGCUUCCAGGAAAAGCCUCUAAGCAUCAGGUAACAUCAAAUCGUACCCCAAACCGACACAGGUGGUCAGGUAGAGAAUACCAAGGCGCUUGAGAGAACUCGGGUGAAGGAACUAGGCAAAAUGGUGCCGUAACUUCGGGAGAAGGCACGCUGAUAUGUAGGUGAAGUCCCUCGCGGAUGGAGCUGAAAUCAGUCGAAGAUACCAGCUGGCUGCAACUGUUUAUUAAAAACACAGCACUGUGCAAACACGAAAGUGGACGUAUACGGUGUGACGCCUGCCCGGUGCCGGAAGGUUAAUUGAUGGGGUCAGCGCAAGCGAAGCUCUUGAUCGAAGCCCCGGUAAACGGCGGCCGUAACUAUAACGGUCCUAAGGUAGCGAAAUUCCUUGUCGGGUAAGUUCCGACCUGCACGAAUGGCGUAAUGAUGGCCAGGCUGUCUCCACCCGAGACUCAGUGAAAUUGAACUCGCUGUGAAGAUGCAGUGUACCCGCGGCAAGACGGAAAGACCCCGUGAACCUUUACUAUAGCUUGACACUGAACAUUGAGCCUUGAUGUGUAGGAUAGGUGGGAGGCUUUGAAGUGUGGACGCCAGUCUGCAUGGAGCCGACCUUGAAAUACCACCCUUUAAUGUUUGAUGUUCUAACGUGGACCCGUGAUCCGGGUUGCGGACAGUGUCUGGUGGGUAGUUUGACUGGGGCGGUCUCCUCCUAAAGAGUAACGGAGGAGCACGAAGGUUGGCUAAUCCUGGUCGGACAUCAGGAGGUUAGUGCAAUGGCAUAAGCCAGCUUGACUGCGAGCGUGACGGCGCGAGCAGGUGCGAAAGCAGGUCAUAGUGAUCCGGUGGUUCUGAAUGGAAGGGCCAUCGCUCAACGGAUAAAAGGUACUCCGGGGAUAACAGGCUGAUACCGCCCAAGAGUUCAUAUCGACGGCGGUGUUUGGCACCUCGAUGUCGGCUCAUCACAUCCUGGGGCUGAAGUAGGUCCCAAGGGUAUGGCUGUUCGCCAUUUAAAGUGGUACGCGAGCUGGGUUUAGAACGUCGUGAGACAGUUCGGUCCCUAUCUGCCGUGGGCGCUGGAGAACUGAGGGGGGCUGCUCCUAGUACGAGAGGACCGGAGUGGACGCAUCACUGGUGUUCGGGUUGUCAUGCCAAUGGCACUGCCCGGUAGCUAAAUGCGGAAGAGAUAAGUGCUGAAAGCAUCUAAGCACGAAACUUGCCCCGAGAUGAGUUCUCCCUGACCCUUUAAGGGUCCUGAAGGAACGUUGAAGACGACGACGUUGAUAGGCCGGGUGUGUAAGCGCAGCGAUGCGUUGAGCUAACCGGUACUAAUGAACCGUGAGGCUUAACCUUACAACGCCGAAGGUGUUU
rnacentral:rRNA from 1 species